UACGAAGGGUGCAAGCGUUACUCGGAAUUACUGGGCGUAAAGCGUGCGUAGGUGGUUCGUUAAGUCUGAUGUGAAAGCCCUGGGCUCAACCUGGGAAUUGCAUUGGAUACUGGCGGGCUAGAGUGCGGUAGAGGAUGGCGGAAUUCCCGGUGUAGCAGUGAAAUGCGUAGAGAUCGGGAGGAACAUCUGUGGCGAAGGCGGCCAUCUGGACCAGCACUGACACUGAGGCACGAAAGCGUGGGGAGCAAACAGGAUUAGAUACCCUGGUAGUCCACGCCCUAAACGAUGCGAACUGGAUGUUGGGUGCAACUAGGCACUCAGUAUCGAAGCUAACGCGUUAAAUUCGCCGCCUGGGGAGUACGGUCGCAAGACUGAA
rnacentral:rRNA from 1 species